GAUGAACGCUGGCGGCGUGCCUAAUACAUGCAAGUCGAGCGAACGGACGAGAAGCUUGCUUCUCUGAUGUUAGCGGCGGACGGGUGAGUAACACGUGGAUAACCUACCUAUAAGACUGGGAUAACUUCGGGAAACCGGAGCUAAUACCGGAUAAUAUUUUGAACCGCAUGGUUCAAGAGUGAAAGACGGUCUUGCUGUCACUUAUAGAUGGAUCCGCGCUGCAUUAGCUAGUUGGUAAGGUAACGGCUUACCAAGGCAACGAUGCAUAGCCGACCUGAGAGGUGGAUCGGCCAACCUGGAACUGAGAAACGGUCCGGAUUCCUAGGGGAGGCAGAGGUAGGGAAUCUUCGGAAAUGGGCGAAAGCCUGCCGGAGCAACGCCGCGUGGGUGAUGAAGGUCUUCGGAUCGUAAAACUCUGUUAUUAGGGAAGAACAUAUGUGUAGUAACUGUGCACAUCUUGACGGUACCUAAUCAGAAAGCCACGGCUAACUACGUG
rnacentral:rRNA from 1 species